CCUACGGGUGGCAGCAGUGAGGAAUAUUGGUCAAUGGACGAGAGUCUGAACCAGCCAAGUAGCGUGAAGGAUGACUGCCCUAUGGGUUGUAAACUUCUUUUAUAUGGGAAUAAAACGUUCCACGUGUGGGAUUUUGUAUGUACCAUAUGAAUAAGGAUCGGCUAACUCCGUGCCAGCAGCCGCGGUAAUACGGAGGAUCCGAGCGUUAUACGGAUUUAUUGGGUUUAAAGGGAGCGUAGGUGGAUUGUUAAGUCAGUUGUGAAAGUUUGCGGCUCAACCGUAAAAUUGCAGUUGAAACUGGCAGUCUUGAGUACAGUAGAGGUGGGCGGAAUUCGUGGUGUAGCGGUGAAAUGCUUAGAUAUCACGAAGAACUCCGAUUGCGAAGGCAGUUCACUGGACUGCAACUGACACUGAGGCUCGAAAGUGUGGGUAUCAAACAGGAUUAGAUACCCUUGUAGUC
rnacentral:rRNA from 1 species